rnacentral:lncRNA from 1 species
AGAACAUGAAUAAUUUCUGCCUUGCUAAAAUGUGACUGAAAUGGUUUUGACUUGGCAUCUGAAAGUAUACAAUGUGUUCAACAAGUCAUGCAUCAGAUUUGUGGGAGGUAUUGUACUGAAACCUAAAUUUCAGUCAACAUUUGAAAAGAAGAGCUGGGCAUUCCUUCCUGGUGAUCUUUACCUAUAGUUUAUCUAUCUGUUUUUCUUCUGUUUCUUUAAGAUUAGUUUGACUUUUAUUAUUAUUUUUUUAAUUAACUUCUGUGAAGUUGUUUACUCUGAAAAUUGUACUGGAAUAUUUUAAGCCAAGCUGAUCUUUCACCAGGUGUACUGUAUGUAAGGGCUUUUCCUGCUAGCAAGAUGCUUAAACAGGAUCAUGUUAUUGGUCGUCUGAGCUAUUUAGUUGUUUUACAAAACCACAGCAUUGUAUCAGAUAAGAUUUUGAUAAAAAGUUUUGUGCACAUUUCCAGGGGCGGGAGGGUUGACAUUUCCCUGAAAUUUCUUGAUUAGAAUGAGUAAAUACUGGUGUUUGAUACCUGUCUUAAUGAACAUGCUCAUAAGGUGACUGAUAAGUUGUAAAUAUACCUGAGAAACAAAGGGGUAGUUUUGAUAUUCUGGUGUCAGUAUGGAAGAUCUUACACAUUUAUUUAAUACUCAAAUGUAUGAAGAUGUUUGUUUGUAGCAUAACAACAGCACAGUAGCCUUGACUUAGUUUCCUUUGGUUAGUACUGUACCUUUUUUGCCAUGGCCAGUGCUCCCCAUCCCUAUGAAGACAUUUUAUUUAUUUCACUCUGUAACCUGAAAUGAAUAGGAACAAGGGUUUUAAACCAUGUUACAUUAACUUUUCUGACAUUAUAAAUUAGCCUAGAAUAUUACAGGAACAUGAUUGUUAUAUAAUUUAUAUCAGAACCUUUCUAUAAAUAUGUGCUUAUUACAUUUGAAAUGCUUCCAAUGUACUUUAUUUGCUGUUUGUAAUUCCAAAAAGGAUAUGCAAACCAGUCUGUCUAUUUCAUGGAUAUUUAAUAGUGAGAUCUUCCAUGUUGAAGGUAAUGUAUUUUUUUUUAAGAUUUUAAAAUUGCUAUUUUGUUACAAAAUAGAGACCUAUUAACAGUUUGAGAGCUCCUUAUGUGCCCUCAGGGAAAGAACCCUCUGUGCAACAGAACUACACAAAACAUCUUCAGCACGUUCUGAGGGUGAAUAUAUACUACAUAAAUUGAUCUUGUGUAUUUAACCUUAUCUUUUUAAUUUUAAAAUUGAAAUUUUGAAACUUGGUUGUGCUCUGCUGGAGGGGGUUGGGAUAAACUGCUUAGAUGUUUGCCUACUUGUCCAGUGAAAUUACAUUUGCAUCAGUAUAUGUAUAUACCUGCCAACCUUAUUGGUAUGUCUCAGAACAUUUAUAUUAAAAUAAUGCUUGUCUUGCAGCAGGUGAUCCCAUAAAACAAUAACUCCCUGUUCUUAAAAACUUACUCUCUUUUUCACUAACAACAUAGGAAUUGUUUCUGUGUUGAGAUUAUUCUGUGUUGCAUCCAUUCUCUAUGUAGUGGUCACCUUCUGUCUGUCAUGGUGGGCUUAAUGUGAAGUAAAGCCAUUGGUUCUCUGCCACUUUCGAAGAAAGGGCAGUUCAUCUGAUCCUUCUUCAGAAUGGUACCUACUGAUAUCAUCGAGGAAAAUGUUACAAAUCAGACCUAGGAUAUGACUUUUUAAAAUUGAGGCAUUUCCCGUCAUUUGGCCUUUUUACCAACAAGAUGUGAUGUACAAAUUUGGAAUCAAAGGAUACAAAGCAACAAGAGAGGAAAUGUGUAAUGUGGGUAACCAAACUGCAUAUGUUACCUAUUGUCUAAUCAGAAAAAAUAGUCUGAGGUCUGGAAAGCAGGAAAGUGGUGGUUAUUUUCUUUCAUUUUUUGUGUUUUUGUUUUUUAAUUUCUAAGUUCCAUUCUGAAAUCCAUGUGCCGCAUUCAGUUACUGUGGUUGUAGCAUCAGUUUUUUUGUGGUUUCAUUUCAUUUUAUGAAUUCAGAGGAAGUUACAUAUAUAUUUUUUCUAGUUGGUACCUGAACAAAGCAGAUUCCCUUGCCUUUGCUGCCACGUCUUAUUUUCAAUGCCAUGUGAUAAACCAGUGUCAUACAUGAAAGUUGUGCAUUGUAAUUUUCAAAAAAAAGGGAGUUCAUUAGGCCAGUGGCACUGAUUUUUCCUUCCCAUCAUAGCUAUUUAUUCUAGUAAGAGGAUAAUAAAAGAAAUUUCCUAUACAAGAACUGAAAUUUUCCAUUUGUAUGGAUCUAGUCACUUUCAGAUUUCAAUUUGAGGUUAAGUAUAUAAAGCACAUCCCAAUUUUAUAUGCUGCCUUGAGAAAAUUACAGGAUGCACGGCAAUUUGUAGGAAUUUCAAAUGGGAUCAUUUAAACAUUUGAAAAAUUAUUUUAAAAACCAUCUAGUUUGCUUUUGGAUUUUAGACAUUAAAGCCUAUGUUGUCUUGUUAACAGGGGUGGAAUGUAUAACCAUCAGAUUCAGCAUGUGAUUUCACCUUUGAAUCUGAGUAUUUCUUCCCUAUCUUCUUUGAGUCAUUUUUGGAGCAGACUGUCACCAGUAUUGAUAACUAAGCAUUAAAGGGAAAAGUUGCAUUGCAACUAUGCAUUGGUUUCCUGGAAGAACUUUUCUUUUGUUUUAGUGAAUGAAGAGGCUUGAUGGGAUCACUUACUGUAACUCCUUCUACAUAAGGACCCCUUCUGCAAGCAGAACACAAAAGAACAUGCUCAAGGAGUAUCCCAUUUUCUGGAUAAAUUGAAGAAGUUUGCUAGUAAUGUCUUUAUACUAGCGUCUUCCUUGUAUCCCUUUGCUGGCAAGGGAAUACAAGGCGUCAAGACCACAGAUCAAAACACCCCACAUUUGAGUGGAGUCUUAUUUUUACUCCAAGAGCAGUUAUUCCCUUCUAGUCUAAAAUUGGCAGUUUUUUCUUUUUUUUAAUAAAAUUUUUAAAAUAUUCCCAAACCAGUGGAACACAGACACUGGCUGCACUUAGUACUGCCAAAAGCCAAGGUCAUUUGCACAUAUUCCAUCAACCUGUCGAGAAUUAGGCCUCACUUUAUAACCCAAGGCAUGGAAGUGCAUGCAUUCUCUUAGCUGGGCAAACAAUUAUACUGUAGUUGUGAUACAACACAUGUGGCUUUUAUUUGUACUGCACAUAUCCACUGUACAGCCACUUGGGAGUAUCGUGGUUAGCUUGCAGCAACUGCUGUCUGCAUUUAUACUGUUUAUUGCAUAUUCUUUUCCCUGGAAGUGAAAGAGAAAUGUUUUUCUUGUUGCAUUGAUUACAUUUUAUAAAUUUGCUUAGCUGGAAAGUUUGGGAAAAGAGGCCUGUUUGUCAAUUGUACAACCGAUUGUGAAGCUCUAGUGUGAAUAUUUUUACGUCUGUAUUAGACAUUUUCUUUGCAAAUCUAUUGUUCGAUUGAAAUGUAAAUGAAAUUAAAGAUGGUGUACACCCAUCAUGUAAAAAGCAGGCACCAUCUCUAAGAUGGAUUUAAUGCUCAUUUUUAAGGCAUAUACUCAGCUUCUAUUUAAAACUAUAAUUUAAAAUAAUUCUGUACAAUGAAAUGGGGAAUAUAUAUGGGAAUAAAUUCUAUUCCAUUUAUUUCAAUUUGAAUUUCCAAAUUGUAAUGUUUCCCUUUGUGCUAUAGGAAUAGGAUUAAAUGGGGGAAGACUAGGAUUUAUAAGGCCUGUAUAUGGGGGGAGGGCAGAGAUGGAACAAUGAGGGUUGUGAUGAUAGUGAAUAGCAAAGAGUGAAUUCUGUGUGUUUUUGCUGUAGCACUGAAGUGAAGAGAUAUUAGCUUUGGCUGUUCACAAAAUAGAGCAUCAUGAUUUUCAGUGUUUGAGAGAAAAUUGAUGGAAAAAGUUUGCAGUACUUGACAUGUAUUUGCAUGCACAAAAUAAAAUUAUUUGUCCACCUUAAAA